UCUGUGGGGUGUGAAAUGGGCUUUUGCUAUAAUAGCAAUCUUUUUUUCGUGGAGCUUUAGUUACAUUUUGUGGCGAUUGCUGAGAGUUGGGAGCAAUACGACCCACUCAGACACAAUCUCAUUUGUAAAGGGUUCUACAUUUACAGGCUGUAAUAAUUGCAUGUCUAGUGUGGGUGAGUCUAAAGACAUGCCUCCAUCUGUUUUCCCAGUAGGAGUAAAUAUAGUAAAUAUCAAAUAAUAUGGUUGAUAUCUGCUGUUUCCUCCGGAUCCUUGGGUUUCCUUCCAGCAACCAGCAUUGUGAUGGAGUGUGUGAGUAUGUCUACAUAGUGAAUUGUGAUUGACUAGUGUACCAUUCACAGGUAGAAGUCCCAGCUCAUACCAGGAGAAGUCCCAACUCAUACCCAGUUUACCAGGAGUGGUUCUGAAUUUAGCUCCCUGUAAAGACAUAUAGACCCAUGGCUGCUAAAUAUUUAAAGACUGUUCCAAAGUGUCCAUCAAUCUGCUGGAGGUUAAAGAUCAUCGUUAAAAUGACUGCUGAGAGGGAGGGAGAAAGACAAAAAUGAGGGAUAGAAGCAAGAAGAUAAGGAGUGAGAAGAAGAGAGCACUGAACGAGAAGGAACCAUGUCCUCCUCUGGAAAGGAGGAGAUAGAAUGAGGACGGCCGUUCUGGAUUUAAAGACUGUCAUGUAUGC